AUCCAACUGUUACAAUUAACUUACCUGUGAAUUCGACUGCAGAGAAUCUGGGUUCGACGGACACUGCUCGGAAUCAAAUUCAAUACUCCUUUUCUUUCAUUCUCUAAUAUUUUGUCGCAAAAACCCCUGUUCCAAUUUCAAUUCAAAACCCUUGACAUUGUCGAGUUUGCCCAAAAUGCCGGACGUUCAGACCCUUGUCAAUGAUUUUGUGAACAAGCUUAAGAAACGUAAAAUUGAAGGUUCACAGGCCACAGCAAAGCUCACAGCAGAGUUGCUCCGGUCUGUGAUAUCACAGCAGCGGGUGCCACACACAAACCAGGCCACAGCUCUGAUUCAUGCAGUAAGGGCUAUUGGGGAGCAGCUUAUUGCUGCCAAUCCUGUUGAGCUAGCCGUGGGAAAUAUUGUGAGGCGUGUUCUGCACAUUAUAAGGGAAGAGGAUCUUUCCCUUGCAACAGCUGCUAUGGCUGGUUUGGGGGUAUCAGCUGCAAGUGACGAUGAAGAUGAUGAGGAGCGAGACGAAAACCCUGUUUUAUCUGCUGCUGCUGUAGCAGCUGCUGCUAGAAGUACAUUACGUCCGCCGUCAUUACAAACUCUUCUAGAGGAUACGUCUGAUUCAGUUGCCGCUCCCCACACAUCUUCCUCUGGGGGUGAAUCUGACGGGAGAAGUAGAUCUAUUGAGAAAGGUUCAAGAGUUAGGAAGUUGAAACAUGAUGUCAUUGAAGCAGUUAAUGAACUAAUUCAAGACAUAUCUACUUGCUAUGAACAAAUAGCUGAGCAGGCAGUGGAGCACAUUCACCACAAUGAGGUAAUUUUAACGUUAGGCAGCUCAAAAACAGUUUUGGAAUUUCUUUAUACUGCGAAGGAAAAGCAAAGAUCAUUUAAGGUCUUUGUUGCUGAAGGUGCCCCAAGAUACCAAGGACAUAUCCUUGCAAAAGAAUUGGCUGCCAGAGGCUUACAGACCACAGUAAUCUCUGAUUCUGCCGUUUUUGCAUUGAUUUCCCGAGUGAACAUGGUUAUAGUUGGAGCUCAUGCUGUCAUGGCUAAUGGUGGAGUUAUUGCCCCAGUUGGGUUAAAUAUGGUUGCACUUGCAGCUCAAAGGCAUGCUGUUCCAUUUGUUGUACUUGCUGGGAGUCACAAGUUGUGUCCUUUGUAUCCACACAAUCCUGAAGUCCUUCUUAAUGAACUGAGAUCCCCGUCUGAGCUACUUGACUUUGGGGAAUUCUCAGAUUGCAUGGAUUCUGCAAGCGGUGCUGGUUCUCUUCAUGUUGUCAAUCCAACCUUUGAUUAUGUGCCGCCAAAAUUUGUUAGUCUAUUUAUUACUGACACGGGAGGGCACAACCCGUCAUAUAUGUACCGGCUCAUAGCUGAUUACUAUUCAGCUGAUGAUUUGGUGGUGAAACGAAGACCUAUUACAGGGAGUUGAGUUCAGUUACCCCAAAUUUUGUCCUAUAAGUGUCAGUAAGCAAUUAAAUAUUUAUGUUGUAGGUGCUCUGUGUGAUGAACCAUGAGUUAGAGACCAUGCUCACAUUUGUGCAGUUGAAAAUGAACCUAGCUUAAUUCUGAGAAUUGAGUUGGAAAAAUUGUACGCCAUGGAAAUGAUAUGGAAAAUACCCAGUGAAAUUAAGUUUUUGUGGUUGUUGACUUCGUCAAUAAGAAAAAAAACUUGAUUUA